GCAGGGUCAUAAAACCUCUCUGACAUUCACUAGCCUUUGAAACUGUUUGUAGAAGUGCUAGGAAUCUCAAGCCCUCGCCAGCAAUAACUACAGAUUCUUUACUAGCAGGUUUCUUCAACUUUGUCUGCAUCAUGGUUAAGAUAUCUGUAACAAGCUCUCCACAAAAGAAUAUGAGGAAAGUAAUGUCUUCCUUGUCGGUGCUCCUCUGUAAUGUGGUUUUCAGAACUUGCAAUCCAAUUGCUUGAACCUGUAGAUUUGAGUCGCUCAGUACAGUUUGGAAAUAUUUACUGCAGUACUUGAACACAGUAAAACAGAAAGGGCUUCUGCUUUUGGUUUCUCCGAGACAUUUCAUUUGACAAGCUACCUUCGCCAAUGAAAUUGUUUGUUCAAGCAAGAAAGAAAGCUUUAAUUGCAAUAGCUUGCGUGACUCAGAUCUUUUAUUCUCCACAAAAUGUAUGCCCUUGAUGCAAUCCUUGGUCAAAUCAGCAAUCAAAUUCAGGCAAGUUCCAA
rnacentral:misc_RNA from 1 species